GGAGGGCGCAAGCGUUGUUCGGAAUCACUGGGCGUAAAGCGCGUGUAGGCGGCUUGGAAAGUCGAAUGUGAAAUCCCCGAGCUCAACUCGGGAACUGCAUCCGAAACUUCCAGGCUAGAGUCCCGGAGAGGAAGGCGGAACUCCCAAUGUAGGGGUGAAAUCCGUAGAUAUUGGGAAGAACACCGGUGGCGAAGGCGGCCUUCUGGACGGUGACCGACGCUGAGACGCGAAAGCGUGGGGAGCAAACAGGAUUAGAUACCCUGGUAGUCCACGCCGUAAACGUUGCGCACUAGGUGUCGGGGGUAUUCACCCCCCUCCCGGUGCCGGAGUUAACGUAUUAAGUGCGCCGCCUGGGGAGUACGGCCGCAAGGCUA
rnacentral:rRNA from 1 species